GCCCAGACUACGGGAGGCAGCAGUGAGGAAUAUUGGUCAAUGGUCGGGAGACUGAACCAGCCAAGCCGCGUGAGGGAGGAAGGUACGGAGUAUCGUAAACCUCUUUUGUCAGGGAACAAAGGCGGGGACGUGUCCCCGGAUGAGUGUACCUGAAGAAAAAGCAUCGGCUAACUCCGUGCCAGCAGCCGCGGUAAUACGGAGGAUGCGAGCGUUAUCCGGAUUUAUUGGGUUUAAAGGGUGCGUAGGCGGGCUGUUAAGUCAGCGGUCAAAUGUCGGGGCUCAACCCCGGCCUGCCGUUGAAACUGGCGGCCUCGAGUGGGCGAGAAGUAUGCGGAAUGCGUGGUGUGGCGGUGAAAUGCAUAGAUAUCGCGCAGAACUCCGAUUGCGAAGGCAGCAUGCCGGCUCCACACUGACGCUGAGGCACGAAAGCGUGGGUAUCGAACAGGAUUAGAUACCCCAGUAG
rnacentral:rRNA from 1 species